rnacentral:rRNA from 1 species
UAGUUGGUAAGGUAACGGCUUACCAAGGCGACGAUCAGUAGCCGACCUGAGAGGGUGAUCGGCCACAUUGGAACUGAGACACGGUCCAAACUCCUACGGGAGGCAGCAGUGGGGAAUAUUGCCAAAUGGGCGAAAGCCUGGUGCAGCAACGCCGCGAUAGGGAUGAAGGCCCUCCGGUAGUAAAACGCUGUCCUCAAGGAAGAGAGCGACGGUACUGGUCGGGGAAGACCGGGCCACCAACCUUCGAGCACGCGCGGGACUCAGAGGGGG